rnacentral:tRNA from 1 species
GCGGCCGUAGCUCAGCUGGUCCAGAGCGCCUGACUGUGGCUCAGGAGGUCGUGGGUUCGAAUCCCAUCGGCCGCCCCA